CCUGAGAGGAUGCCAUAGACAGGAAACAAGCCUCCAAGAUUUACAAUACAGGGAUCUCAUUCUGGAGCGAGCCAAACUAAAUAACAGAGGAGACAAUCGGAGAUUCGUUAUACAGAAGGCAGAGGAAAUAAAUAGUCAUGAAACAGAACCAACGGCACGGAGUUUGAAAU
rnacentral:lncRNA from 1 species